rnacentral:rRNA from 1 species
UGGGGAAUAUUGGACAAUGGGCGAAAGCCUGAUGCAGCAACGCCGCGUGAGCGAUGAAGGCCUUCGGGUCGUAAAGCUCUGUCCUCAAGGAAGAUAAUGACAGUACUUGAGGAGGAAGCCCCGGCUAACUACGUGCCAGCAGCCGCGGUAAUACGUAGGGGGCUAGCGUUAUCCGGAAUUACUGGGCGUAAAGGGUGCGUAGGUGGUUUCUUAAGUCAGAGGUGAAAGGCUACGGCUCAACCGUAGUAAGCCUUUGAAACUGGGAAACUUGAGUGCAGGAGAGGAGAGUGGAAUUCCUAGUGUAGCGGUGAAAUGCGUAGAUAUUAGGAGGAACACCAGUUGCGAAGGCGGCUCACUAGACAGUUUCUGACGCUAAGAUACGAAAGCGUGGGGAGCAAACA